CUCGUAGGCGGCCAACUAAGUCAGACGUGAAAUCCCUCAGCUUAACUGGGGAACUGCGUCUGAUACUGGAUGGCUUGGAUCCGGGAGAGGGAUGCGGAAUUCCAGGUGUAGCGGUGAAAUGCGUAGAUAUCUGGAGGAACACCGGUGGCGAAGGCGGCAUCCUGGACCGGUAUUGACGCUGAGGAGCGAAAGUCAGGGGAGCAAACG
rnacentral:rRNA from 1 species